AGAACGAACGCUGGCGGCAGGCCUAACACAUGCAAGUCGAACGCCCCGCAAGGGGAGUGGCAGACGGGUGAGUAACGCGUGGGAACGUGCCCUUCGGUUCGGAAUAACUCAGGGAAACUUGAGCUAAUACCGGAUACGUCCGUAAGGAGAAAGAUUUAUCGCCGAAGGAUCGGCCCGCGUCGGAUUAGCUAGUUGGUGAAGUAACGGCCCACCAAGGCGACGAUCCGUAGCUGGUCUGAGAGGAUGAUCAGCCACACUGGGACUGAGACACGGCCCAGACUCCUACGGGAGGCAGCAGUGGGGAAUAUUGGACAAUGGGCGAAAGCCUGAUCCAGCCAUGCCGCGUGAGUGAAGAAGGCCUUAGGGUGUAAAGCUCUUUCAGCGGGGAAGAUAAUGACGGUACCGCAGAAGAAGUCCCGGCUAACUUCGUGCCAGCAGCCGC
rnacentral:rRNA from 1 species